UACGAAGGGUGCAAGCGUUACUCGGAAUUACUGGGCGUAAAGCGUGCGUAGGUGGUUCGUUAAGUCUGAUGUGAAAUCCCCAGGCUCAACCGGGGAACUGCGUGUGAUACUGGCGGGCUUGAAUUCGGGAGAGGGAUGUGGAAUUCCAGGUGUAGCGGUGAAAUGCGUAGAUAUCUGGAGGAACACCGGUGGCGAAGGCGGCGAUCCUGGACCGAGAUUGACGCUGAGGCGCGAAAGCUAGGGGAGCAAACGGG
rnacentral:rRNA from 1 species